CAGUCGCCACGGGAAUACAGAGGGUGCGAGCGUUAAUCGGAUUUACUGGGCGUAAAGCGUGCGUAGGCGGCUUUUUAAGUCGGAUGUGAAAUCCCUGAGCUUAACUUAGGAAUUGCAUUCGAUACUGGGAAGCUAGAGUAUGGGAGAGGAUGGUAGAAUUCCAGGUGUAGCGGUGAAAUGCGUAGAGAUCUGGAGGAAUACCGAUGGCGAAGGCAGCCAUCUGGCCUAAUACUGACGCUGAGGUACGAAAGCAUGGGGAGCAAACAGGAUUAGAUACCCAGUAGUCCCUGUCUCUUAUACA
rnacentral:rRNA from 1 species